rnacentral:rRNA from 1 species
UGCGCGAGUCAUUGAGACAUUGCGAAACUUAUAGGCGAAAUGAAAGUGAAGUGCAGCCUCGCGCUGCACGAGGGCGGAUGGACGGUGCUAAGACGCCGUCCCGCACGCCCGGGGCGUCCCAUUCUCAUUGCGAGACGGGGCGCACCAAGAGCGUACACGCUGGGACCCGAAAGAUGGUGAACUAUGCCUGGUCAGGACGAAGUCAGGGGAAACCCUGAUGGAGGUCCGUAGCGAUUCUGACGUGCAAAUCGAUCGUCGGAGCUAGGUAUAGCGGCGAAAGACUAAUCGAACUAUCUAGUAGCUGGUUCCCUCCGAAGUUUCCCUCAGGAUAGCUGGCGCUCGUUGUUGCGAGUCUCAUCCGGUAAAGCGAAUGAUUAGAGGCAUUGGGGUCGAAACGGCCUCAACCUAUUCUCAAACUUUAAAUGGGUGAGAUCUCCGGCUUGCUCGAACGUGAAGCCGCGAGAUUUCGGAUCAGAGUGCCAAGUGGGCCACUUUUGGUAAGCAGAACUGGCGCUGUGGGAUGAACCAAACGCCGAGUUAAAGCGCCUAAAUCGACGCUUAUGGGAUACCAUGAAAGGCGUUG